AUGAAGCUCCAUCUCCUGCUGAAGGUCCUGUUCGGGCCGGUGCCGGUCUACUUCUCGGCGCUGGCCAUCCUCAUCCUCCUGACCAACGCACAGUACUUUGGGCUCGGCGGCGUCGGCGUGCCGCGCGCCACCAAGCUGGCCUCCUCCACGCCGGUGGUGAGCGUGAUGAAGUACUGCGACAUCUUCCGCGGCGAGUGGGUGCCCGACGCGGAGGCGCCCUACUACAACCACAAGACGUGCGGCAUGAUCCAGGAGCACCAGAACUGCCUCAAGUACGGCCGCCCGGACCUCGGCUUCCUCAAGUGGCGGUGGAGGCCGUCCGGCUGCGAGCUGCCGCGCUUCGACCCGGUCCAGUUCCUGCAGUUCGUCCGCCACAAGUCCCUGGCCUUCGUCGGGGACUCCCUGGCUCGCAACCAUAUGCAGUCCUUGCUCUGCCUCCUCUCACAGGUCGCGUAUCCCAAGGACAUCUCGGCGAACCCGACGGACCAGAACAAGGUGUACUACUACCGGGCCUACAACUUCACCAUCAACAUGUUCUGGUCGCCGUUCCUGGUGCGCGCGCGGGAGCCCGACCACGACGACCCGGCGCACACGGGGCACUACAGCCUCUACCUGGACGAGCCGGACGACAAGUGGGUGUCGCAGGUGCCCCGGUUCGACUACGUGCUGGUGUCGGCGGCCAACUGGUUCUCCCGCCCCUCGCUCUUCUACGAGAAGCGGCGGCUGAUCGGGUGCAGCUUCUGCAGCCGGCAGUACGGCGUGCCGGACCUGACGCUCUACUACUCGCAGCGCAAGGCGUGGCGCGUGGCGCUGCGGGCGAUCAACGCCCUGGACGGCGUCAAGGGGCGGGUGAUCGUGCGGAUGCUGUCGCCCAUGUCGCACUUCGAGAACGGAACGUGGGACCAGGGCGGCAACUGCAAGCGGACGGAGCCGAUCCGGAGCAACCAGACGGUGAUGGAGGGGCGCGACCUGCAGUUCUACACGGCGCAGAUGGAGGAGUACCGCGCGGCGGAGAAGGCGGCGCGGCCCAAGGGGCUCCGGCUGAUGCUCAUGGACGCCACGGCGGCCAUGCUGAUGCGGCCCGACGGGCACCCCAGCCGGUACGGCCACUGGCCCAACGAGAAGGUGCAGCUCUACAACGACUGCAUCCAUUGGUGCCUGCCCGGCCCCAUAGACAUCUGGAACGACCUCUUGUUCCAGAUGAUGCUAGUCUAG
rnacentral:rRNA from 1 species